rnacentral:lncRNA from 10 species
AGGCAUAGUUGGAAACCAGCUUGGGCUCUGCAUGGUAAGAGGUUGUCCUCAAACUCGUGGCCUCAAGCAGUCUUCCUGCAUUGGCCUCCCAAAGUGCUGGGAUUAGAACUCUACCCUGACUGGCUAAUCUUGGGCUAUGGGCCAACCCCUGAGGCCAGGGAUCCUGCGAUUGGCAGCUCCGGUGGACAAAGACUAGUUCCCCAGAGGAAAAGAAGAGCCUAUCACUCACUCCUACGGGGUGGAGCAGUGAGGGAUGGUGGGAGGCAAGACAGACAUCCUCUGCAGGUAAGAGAGGAGGGAGAGGGCUGGAAAUCAGGGGAACUGUCUGACUAAGGAAACAGUUGGGAUGAUUCAUGGAUGAGAUGGGGCAGGGAAGAGAUGGGCCUGGCCCGAGCCCAGGGUGGGUGUCAGACAUGGACACAGAUUGCAUUGUUUCAUCUGCCUGGAAGCCACACCUCCCACCCCUCCCCUCCUUCUGGGAAAUUACCCUCCCUCUUUCUCCACCCCCACCUGUGUCUCUUGGGUCACCUGGAAGCUACUCUGACAUCCUAUACUAGUGGCUCAAUCCAGGGGUGUCACUGGACCCAGCCCGGGCCAACCAUGGUACUCAGCCCUUAAGCAAAACCAUUGCCUAGUAGGUCCUUAAACAAGUUUGAGCUGCAUUUCUGUCCUUUGCAGCUGUCUACAUUCAGGGGUCUAUCUGAAGCCCAGUUCUUGCCCUUCUGGAGCUCAAAAU